rnacentral:lncRNA from 1 species
AUGACACCCGAUAAGUCCCACAAUCUAUCAGUGAUACCUAGCAGUAUAUAGUGGCAACCUAGUAGAAUAAAAGUAUGAAUUUUUAGAUGCAGUUAUCGUAUGAUUCAGUCCUUCUAUCAUAAAUUCUAACUUAAUAGAGAUCUUGGAGAACUCACCAGACCCCAUUGUCAGUCAUAUGCAAGAUUGGCUUGACUUGAGUUCAUUUGUGAAUCUCAUAAAUUUUUUUUUUCAGUAUUCACACUUACUU